rnacentral:rRNA from 1 species
AAAACGACUCUCGGCAACGGAUAUCUCGGCUCUCGCAUCGAUGAAGAACGUAGCGAACUGCGAUACUUGGUGUGAAUUGCAGAAUCCCGUGAACCAUAGAGUCUUUGAACGCAAGUUGCGCCCGAAGCCAUUAGGCCGAGGGCACGUCUGCCUGGGCGUCACGC